AUCUGAGGAGACAACUACCUUUUCGUGUUUUAUACAUUUUAUUCAUACAUUUCUCCAACUUUGAAAUGACAAAAGCCCAAUUCUAUUGUUUCCCAUUACACAGCAUCCUACAGGUAUGUAUAUUCUACAAAGAAUACUAUGGAGUUUCUCUUCCUCCCCUGUCACACAAGAGACAACUGAUUAGGGUUGCGUUGACUUGUCCUGUACCGACAGUGCACCAGCGUUCUGGGUGUUCUGGCGACAGGGCAAAGGGAUCAGGGCAGGAGGGCGUGUGCUAAGGCAUGUAAAUAGAUAAACACAGAGAGAAAGAAAAGCGGGACAUUUACAAAGAAUCCGAACCUUUCCGAUGCCCUCACCUCCGGGGUGUGGGAGGACACAGACGCUCUUGCACGCUAAGGCUUGGCUGUACCCUGCAAAUACUUACAAUUGGAUACGGUGAAAUAUACAACAACUGUUAACAUCGCUCUCUUUUAAUCACUGAGACAAUACUUCAAAACCUUUUAUAAAAAGGCAAUUAUACAUACAGAAAAAAAAAAAGGAACACGUUGGCAAAACUUUAUGCAAAAUAACCCCAGAACUGAGUUUGAAUGGCGACGUGCCUGCCUGGCAAUUAAACAUGAUGCUAUGGUCUCUGCACGUGGGUAUUGGGAUUGUUCGGCCUUUGUGUCAGUUCCUGGGCCUGCUCCCCCACAGCUUCUCACUCCCUGCACAGGCGCCCUCUGGGGACACAGCAGAGACCAGGCACAGCCUCUGGGUCCCAAGAUGGUCACCCCCAGGGCUUGAUGGGUGAGACCACUGGCACGUUCCUUUGGUCACAUGUGGGAGAGAAGGGAAGGAACACAGAUGGGGCAGCGAAGCUCCAAUGUUCUACGUGUAAAGAAAUAGGGGGCUGUGCUUGGGGCCAGAAACGAGGUCUCCCGUGUGUGGUGCCAAACAUCUCUUUGUUUUCUUUUGCUUGGUCCAUUUGCACAGGGUCAAGAGAGUUGAUGGUUAGGUGAGGGAUGGGGGUAGCUCUGGAUUUUCUAUAUGUCAGCCCACCUUCUGCAGCCCAAGAGAAGCAGAGAGAAGACCAGAUAAAAAGGAUGUGGACUGGUGGACAUAAACUCUUUCUUUCUUUCUCUCACUUCCUGGAUGCCUGUUACCCCUAAACUUCACUCACUAAACUGGAAGACCCAAGACUUCCAGUAGCUCCAAGUUUAAGGCAAACCGAUGAGUGGGUGUGGGCAAAGCCAACCAAGCGUUGAGCCUUACAGAUGACGUCCUGUAACCAAAGACACCAAGUGGAGAGGAAGACCUUACUUCUAAAGGGGUAAGAAGUGGAAAAGUUCUACCAAAUGAAACAAUUCAUGAGGAAAGCUUGUAGCCCUUCUGUAAGCUGCAGUCAGAAGCAAAAGAUCUUUCUAAGAGGAGAAUUAAUAAGAGGCGCAGAACAAGAGAAAGAACACUUGGGGACCUUGGUAUCUAAGCCCUUGGAAACAGGAUGGAAUUAGGAGGCUGUGUUCAGUUCUGGAAAAACAAGCCCCUCCUCCGUGUCCCCCCCACCCCCCGCCCCGCAACACACACACAAACACACACACUGGUUUGACAGGAAAUAAGCAGGGGGAUGAGAAUCCACAGGGGCUUGUUUGGAAUGCUGAUUGCAAAAUGCCUUCUCUUCUUUCCAAGGAGGUAGCCUGGGAGGCAUUAAGAAUAUAUUAAUCAAGAAAUGUUCUUGCUAGCUUUAGCGGUAUGUUCUCUUUGCCCUCAAGUGACUGACCUGAAAUGAAGAAAAGGAUAUCAGGGG
ensembl:lncRNA